rnacentral:rRNA from 1 species
CAGUCGCCGCGGUAAUACGCAGGUGGCAAACGUUGUCCGGAAUUAUUGGGCGUAAAGGGCUCGCAGGCGGUUUCUUAAGUCUGAUGUGAAAGCCCCCGGCUCAACCGGGGAGGGUCAUUGGAAACUGGGAAACUUGAGUGCAGAAGAGGAGAGUGGAAUUCCACGUGUAGCGGUGAAAUGCGUAGAGAUGUGGAGGAACACCAGUGGCGAAGGCGACUCUCUGGUCUGUAACUGACGCUGAGGAGCGAAAGCGUGGGGAGCGAACAGGAUUAGAUACCCCCGUAGUCCCUGUCUCUUAUAC